ensembl:lncRNA
GUCCUGUCAGAGCUCCCCCUCUUUCUAAAAGUCUGUCUUAGUAUCUACUUCUUAUUUUAUAUUUUUCUCACUUUUACCCUACAGGUCCUCUGUGUGUAUAUCGUGGCUUCUGGUUUACUGUUUUUUAUGAGAUCCCUGGGGGUGACCAAGCUGGUCUUGUGUCUUCUCUUCAGCUCUCUUCCUGGUAUUUGUUUUGUCUUAUAUUGUAUUAUUUAGAAAUGGAAUUUGGGCUGUGUAUUACUAAGUUAGCUUACUUUGAAAUGUUACUAACCUGGGAGGUUUCAGUAUUUUACCUGUGAGGCUGAGAACUGGUUGGUCACUCUGUCUGUGAGGCUGGCUGCUUUAGCAGUCUCAGUCUGGAUCCAAGUAUGGAAAGGUCCUGGAGACAGCUGCUCCUUAGGGAUGGAAGCCUGGAAAAGAAUCGCAUCUGAGAGCAGCAAAGAGAUCACGGCAACGGGAUAAAGAAGGCUGACGUCAGGAGGGACGGCCACGCCAGCAAAAGGUCAUUGUAUUCUGAGGCAAGCAGAUGAUAAAACCGGCUAUGCGUGCUUGGUAUCGAUCAUGGAUCUAAAGUCAUCUGGGAGACACACCCGCAGGCAGACCGGUCUAUGAAGGCGUUUCUAGACGAGGAGAACUGAGGUGGGAAGGCCCAGCCAACACGUGGCACGAUCGUCUGGGCUAGAACACGAAGGAAGAAAGCUGAGGACCAGCAUUCCUGGACCCUGACUGACUGUACUGUGAACAGCCUCCCCGGGUCCUGCCGCUAUUACUGAUGCACUCUGAAGCUGGAGCCAAAGUAAAGCCCUUAUUUUAUUAUUUUGUCACAGCAAUGAGAAAAACCACUAACACAGUCCCUGACACCUGAGGCCUGUGUCGUUACACCAGGGGCUGCUACUUACUGGGGUACCUGCCGUGCGCUGCUCCAGUUCAGUGGCCAAAUGCCGAGGGUCCCAAAAGCUGCCAGGCGCCAGGCAGGUCGGAGUUCCCACCUCUGUGUCAUUUCUAUUCCGAGGUGUAUAAAUGUGAUGUCACACGUCUUUCCUGUCACUCCACUUUUAUUUAUUUAUUUUUUGAGACAGGAUCUCUCACUGAACUUGAAACACAGUGCUCAGUAAGCUGGAAAACCCCAGGGAUUCACCUGGCUCCGCCCUGCACCCAGCCUUGGGGUUAUGAGUGUGCAUGGCCAUGCCCAGCUUCAUAUGUAAGUUCUGAGGUUCAAGUCCGUCCUCCUCCUGCAUGGCGGGUGCUGUCUACUGAGCCAGCUCCUUAGGCCCCUUUCUCUUGCCCCUGCAGUCAGGUUCUCUAAGAAGCAUUGUGUAACUUGAGCCCACCGUCUUCAGGUUUAGUUUUCUAGUCUUAUUACAUUUGCUUUUUCCAUCAAUCAUGAAUUAGGUUCUGUUUAUUUUCAACGCUGGGCAUUGAACCCAAGGCAUUGGACACGUUAGCUAAGUACUGUCCCAUCGGGCCACAUCCCCAGAUCCAGAUCUUGAGUCAAUUACUGUAAUGGAUAGGCUAAGUGAUAAAAUAAUACUUGUAUUGCUUUUAAUGAAGUUGCAAAUGAAAAUAUUAUAUUCUUUCAUUUGAUCGUGCCUUUUCAUUAUAACUCUUUUUUUACCCUGUACCCCUAUUUGAUUCAAAACUAAUGUUUGAAUAAUUUGAGUUUUUUUCAUUCUGUGUAAAUACAUAUAUAUUCUCUUUAUUUAGUAUAAUUUAGAUAAAACAAUAUCUAGUUUUAACUUUAACUUCAUUUACUCUGUUUGGACAUAUGAAGACUUGGGUUAACUCUUCUUAUCCAAAGAACACAAAAGGUAUCAGUCUAGUAACAACAUUCAUGUUUUAUACCUCAAGUACUGAUAUUUAUUGGUUUAAUUAAUAUCUAAAAUAUAGCUAGGAUUAAAGAAUUAAUUAAACUAUAUUUGUAUUUUACUAAUAAAAAAUGGGAGACAGUGACUUCUUCCAAAGUCUCAUUUCUAACCAUUUAAGUGUAAGAUAAUUCAUAGAAUACAAUUAACUGGAAAUAUAGAGGGAACUCUGUAUCUCAUUAACAUGUAAAUUUGGC